AUUAUAUUGAUCACCAAACUGUACAAUAUUCAAUAUAUGACUUUCAUAAAAUCAGAUGAUGUUUCAAGCGCACAGAUUGAUGGUUAUUAUUGACACUUUAUUGUUCAUAUUAGGUAUAGAUCUGAAGUGGUGAAAGGUAGACCACCGGUCAAAGACAAACAAGUUGAUAACUUGAGUUGGCACCGCUUUAACUGUUCAAUCGUCACCACCGGACAUCCACAUUAACAUCAAAAACAGGAC
rnacentral:lncRNA from 1 species